rnacentral:rRNA from 1 species
UACGGGGGGGGGCAAGCGUUGUUCGGAAUUACUGGGCGUAAAGGGCGCGUAGGCGGAUUUUUAAGUCAGGGGUGAAAUCCCAAGGCUCAACCUUGGAACUGCCUUUGAUACUGGGAAUCUUGAGUCCGGGAGAGGUGAGUGGAACUGCGAGUGUAGAGGUGAAAUUCGUAGAUAUUCGCAAGAACACCAGUGGCGAAGGCGGCUCACUGGCCCGGAACUGACGCUGAGGCGCGAAAGCGUGGGGAGCGAACAGG